rnacentral:tRNA from 1 species
GCCGGGAUAGGGUAGGGGCUAUCCUAGGGGACUGUGGAAAAGCCCCUUUAAAAAAGGUGCUUUACCCCUAAAAGGAGCUUUGUGGCAAUCCCUUGACCCGGGUUCAAAUCCCGGUCCCGGCC